UGGGGAAUAUUGCACAAUGGAGGGAACUCUGAUGCAGCGACGCCGCGUGAACGAAGAAGGCUUUCGAGUCGUAAAGUUCUUUUAUAUGGGAAGAUAAUGACGGUACCAUAAGAAAAAGCCCCGGCUUACUACGUGCCAGCAGCCGCGGUAAUACGUAGGGGGCUAGCGUUGUCCGGAAUCACUGGGCGUAAAGGGUUCGCAGGCGGAAAUGCAAGUCAGGUGUAAAAGGCAGUAGCUUAACUACUGUAAGCAUUUGAAACUGAAUAUCUUGAGAAGAGUAGAGGUAAGUGGAAUUUUUAGUGUAGCGGUGAAAUGCGUAGAUAUUAAAAAGAAUACCGGUGGCGAAGGCGACUUACUGGGCUCAUUCUGACGCUGAGGAACGAAAGCGUGGGUAGCAAACAGG
rnacentral:rRNA from 1 species